rnacentral:rRNA from 1 species
UCGGGAAUUUUGGGCAAUGGGCGAAAGCCUGACCCAGCAACGCCGCGUGAAGGAUGAAGUCUUUCGGGAUGUAAACUUCGUAAGAAUGGGAAGAAUAAAUGACGGUACCAUUUGUAAGGUCCGGCUAACUACGUGCCAGCAGCCGCGGUAAUACGUAGGGACCAAGCGUUGUUCGGAUUUACUGGGCGUAAAGGGCGCGUAGGCGGCGAAUCAAGUCAGCUGUGAAAUCUCCGAGCUUAACUCGGAACGGUCAGCUGAUACUGUUUUGCUAGAGUGCAGAAAGGGCAACCGGAAUUCUUGGUGUAGCGGUGAAAUGCGUAGAUAUCAAGAGGAACACCUGAGGCGAAGGCGGGUUGCUAGGCUGACACUGACGCUGAAGCGCGAAAGCUAGGGUAGCAAACGGGAUUAGAUACCCCGGUAGUCCUAGCCCUAAACGAUGUAUGCUUGGUGUCUGGAGUUUUUAUCUCUGGGUGCCGUCGCUAACGCUUUUAGCAUACCGCCUGGGGAGUACGCACGCAAGUGU